GGCGGCGUGCUUAACACAUGCAAGUCGAGCGGAAAGGCCCUUCGGGGUACUCGAGCGGCGAACGGGUGAGUAACACGUGAGGAACCUGCCCCGGACUUUGGGAUAACCUUCGGAAACGGAGGCUAAUACCGAAUACGACAACCGAUCGCAUGGUCUGGUUGUGGAAAGUUUUUCGGUCUGGGAUGGUCUCGCGGCCUAUCAGCUUGUUGGUGGGGUAAUGGCCUACCAAGGCGACGACGGGUAGCCGGCCUGAGAGGGCGACCGGCCACACUGGGACUGAGACACGGCCCAGACUCCUACGGGAGGCAGCAGUGGGGAAUAUUGCACAAUGGGCGGAAGCCUGAUGCAGCGACGCCGCGUGAGGGAUGACGGCCUUCGGGUUGUAAACCUCUUUCAGCAGGGACGAAGCGAGAGUGACGGUACCUGCAGAAGAAGCGCCGGCCAACUACGUGCCAGCAGCCGCGGUAAGA
rnacentral:rRNA from 1 species